AUGCCAUUAAUGGAUGGCACAAGAAGCGGCAGCCUUAGGGCAGUCCCCAAAAUGUUUUCUUUCAUUAUUUUUAUGAUCCGGGAACCGCCCCACACAAGAGAGCUGGAAUCCUCUGGUCUUGAUCCUCGGGAGGAAACUGUGACAGGAGAGGGGCAGGCGUCCUCCCCGCUUUCCAAACGAGACCGGGCUCCGCUGGACUGCGGACUGGCCCAGAGUCCCCAGCAGGGCCCGGCCCACCCCGUGCUGCUCCGAGGGUCUGUCGCACAGAACAGCGGGAAACGAGCAUUCAGUCGUCGUCGUCGUCGUCUUCAAGGAUCUCGGGGCGCCGAUGCUGGGAAACACGGACCGUGGCCGCGAAUGCAGGAGUGCAGAGUGUGACUGCGGGGGAAGAGCUGUCCGUUGCAGGGCAUGAAGGAAGGCUUCCUGGAGGAGGUGCCCUUGGAGCUGGUCCGGAAGUUGGGAGGAGGGGUUCCGCGGGGUAUUCUGGAAUGAAGAAGGAGCUUAAGCCAGAACAAGCGCCGGCUCCUACUGAGAAAGGACUGUGGGAGAGAAACUGGGGGGCAAGAAAAUCCUGGGGAACAGGGGCAGUGAAGCAGCUCCUGGGCUCACGCACGCGGCUCUCAGAGGGCGCACCUUUCACCCGCUCCUGGUUCAGAGAAGAUUCAGACCCGCGGAUGCUCACCUGCCGGGGGAGCCAGCGGUGAGCCCGGCUCAGCAUUGCCUUUCUCCCCGGGACCCAGGACCCAGCCAUAACCAGGCCUGGAGGCCUCCACGGGCAGCGGGUGGUCAGCAGAGCGCCUCCUGUGGCCUCUCGAGUGGCCCGGGCCUCCUCAUGGUGGUGGCCGGAGCCAACAGUGGUGUCCCAGGAGGGCUGGGUGGGGAGUCCCUGGGCCUGGUGGCAGUGCAGCCGGACUCAGGGACGGAGCACAGACCACCUCUUCAUGUCAGAAGCUGCGAGUCCGGGAUUUUGGAAGACACUGAGGUUGCACGCCCGGGCUGCACGCACGCGGCUCUCAGGUGUUGCUGAGUCUCUGCGCGCUGCUGUCAGUGUGGACAGGGUGCCUUGUGUCUCCUGGCCUUUGCUGACCGUGUGAACACGUACAGAUGAGGCUGGGCUGCUCCUUUGGCGCCGCAAGGAUGGCAGAGGCCGUGGGCCUGGGGUGACUGCUAUUCCGGAUGUUGCUGCAGAAGGUGGGGGAUGGGGCACAGGUGAGCCCCCAGGAGCGGGGCUCUGGGAAGCACCCUGAUCAGAGCAGGAGGCCCAAGUCCUGCCUGCUGCUGGCGGUGGGCACGUCCUGGACCCUGGAGGCCUGGGGCCCUCGUCAGCUCUAAGAUGCUCAGUGUUUCCUGAGCGACGCGGGUCCUUGGCCCCAGAGGU
rnacentral:lncRNA from 1 species